GACGAACGCUGGCGGCGUGCUUAACACAUGCAAGUCGAACGAAGUGGCGAACGGGUGAGUAACGCGUAAUCAACCUGCCCUUCAGAGGGGGACCACAGUUGGAAACGACUGCUAAUACCGCAUACUGAAGGAGGGGAUUGCGUGUGAUUAGCUAGUUGGAGGGGUAACGGCCCACCAAGGCGAUGAUCAGUAGCCGUUCUGGGAGGAUGAACGGCCAAAAUGGGACUUGGACACGGCCCAGACUCCUUGGGGAGGCAGCAGUGGGGAAUCUGCCGCAAUGGAUGAAAGGCUGACGGAGCAAAGCCGCGGGAGUGAUGACGGCCGUCGGGUUGUAAAGCUCUGUUAAGCGGGACGCGGUACCGGAAUAGAAAGCAACGGCUAACUACGUGCCAGCAGCCGCGGUAAUAC
rnacentral:rRNA from 1 species